rnacentral:snRNA from 1 species
AGAUGAGCUCAACGAGAAC